AGGGAGCUUCGGCUCCUGAGCUAGUGGCGAACGGGUGAGUAACGCGUGAGGAACCUGCCUUUCAGUGGGGGACAACAGUUGGAAACGACUGCUAAUACCGCAUAAAGCAUAGAUACCGCAUGGUAAUUAUGCCAAAGAUUUAUUGCUGAAAGAUGGCCUCGCGUCUGAUUAGCUAGUUGGAGGGGUAACGGCCCACCAAGGCGACGAUCAGUAGCCGGUCUGAGAGGAUGAACGGCCACAUUGGGACUGAGAUACGGCCCAGACUCC
rnacentral:rRNA from 2 species